AGAAAACAGUGUCCUCCUCCCUCCAUGUCCUCCAUCCUGCAUCCGGCUGCCUUCACCUUCCCGGUUCACCUGUCGCUUACCUGUGUGCCUCUCACCUCCACUAACAGGUGUCAGGUUUGGCGGCCUGAGAAAGUGAAAGGAAAGAGAAGCCCUCCCACCGCCCCGGAGCCCAGAGCUGCCGUUGGGCACAAGCCCAGAUGAGGUGCUGGCCAGCACUGCCCUUGCACAGUCUGCGAACUUCUGGCACCUUGCGUGGCCAGUUAACUCAGCCAAGUCCGGAAGAGUGACUGGUUCUCAGAACAUAAAGACUAUCUUUUCUCCACUAUGGAAAAUGUAACAUUUGGCAGCAAAGCCACAGGUCCAACAUGCAAAACAGAAACAUCCGGAUUGAUAAAAUAUUUACAUUGGUAUAGUGUUUUCAAACCGUGGGCCGGGAUCUACUAAUGAGUCAUGAAAUCCAUUUCAGUGGGUUGCAACGAGCUUUUUCAGAGGAAAGAUCAGCAAAAACGUUUCAGAAUGCGUCUCACGUAGGAGGCUGAGCCCUGUUCUGUGAAUCGUUUGCUUGGUUGCAGGUCUCUACGGGUCCCCUGGGGGUGACGGAAAAUGUACUUCUCGCUGUGGGUUCAGGUCUAGAAAGAUCGAGAAGCAUUGAAAUUGAGGACCAUUUGUUCACUGUCCAAGAACAUUUCUCUCUAUGAUUGGUUCAGAUAACCUUUGAAAUAUGAUUUAUCUUACUCCAAACUCCAUUCACAGCUCAAUUUUCAGGAACCUCUCUUUUGAGUAAGGUACACCCAAUGCUGGCAGGUGGAGCAAGAAAACCCAGCCUGCUGCCAAAUGCAGCUGCCGCAGACUGCCACUUUGAGAGCCGCGGUCGAGUGUCUGCCACUUGGAAAUGAAAUGUAGGUCAAGAUCCACCACAAGCGUAUGGGCAGGGGGCAGGAAGUAGCACCCCUUAGAUGCCAGCGUCAAUGAGGCUGGACGUCAAAUGGUUUCUCCUCCUGGUGAUGGCUACUGUUAAAGAAAAAAAAGUCAGCAGACUCAGACGCAGUAUUUGGAGAACAUCUAGAGGUGAAUUCAAAUGGUGAAAUGUGCAGAUGGUUAUGGAAGCCAAGGAGGGAUUCUGCCUCUCCCUACUUCGAUCCUCUCCAUCGACAUGACUAUAUGUACAAAGAGGGUUAGGGUAGGAGGCAUUCUGGGUGGUGGUGACCACGUUAUAUACGUAUUUAUAUAUACACACAUAUAUUUACAUCUACGUAUUUCACAAUAUAUACAUUUUACCAUUUUAACCAUUUUAAGUGUACUGUUCAACGGUAUUAUAUAUAUUCACAAUUUUGUGCACCCAUCACCACCAUCCAUCUCCAGAACCUUUUCUUUAUCCCCAACUGAAACUGUAUAUCCGUUAAAUAGUAACUCCUAUUUCCCCUCCUCAACCCACUGCUGGUAACCACUAUUCUACUUUGUGUUCCUAUGAAUUUGAUUACUCUGGGUAUUGCCCAUAAAUGGAAUCAUCCAAUAUUUGUUUUUGCGUGUGGCUUUUUUCACUUAGCAUAAUGUUUUCAAGGCUCGACCAUGUUGUAGCAUGUAUCAGAAUUUCAUUCCUUUUUAAG